rnacentral:rRNA from 1 species
GCGGAGGAAAAGAAACCAACAGGGAUUGCCUCAGUAACGGCGAGUGAAGCGGCAAAAGCUCAAAUUUGAAAUCUGGCUCCAUGCGGAGCCCGAGUUGUAAUUUGGAGAGGACACUUCGGGUGCGGCCACGGCAUAAGUUCCUUGGAACAGGACGUCAUAGAGGGUGAGAAUCCCGUCUUUGGCUGCUGGACCGCGCCCAUGCGAAGUUCCUUCGACGAGUCGAGUUGUUUGGGAAUGCAGCUCUAAGUGGGUGGUAAAUUUCAUCUAAAGCUAAAUAUUGGCCGGAGACCGAUAGCGCACAAGUAGAGUGAUCGAAAGGUUAAAAGCACCUUGAAAAGGGAGUUAAAUAGCACGUGAAAUUGUUGAAAGGGAAGCGCUUGCAACCAGACUCGGUCGUGGGGGCUCAGCGGGCAUGCGUGCCCGUGUACUCCCCCAUGCUCCGGGCCAGCAUCAGUUCUGGCGGUUGGUUAAAGGCCUCUGGAAUGUAUCGUCCUCCGGGACGUCUUAUAGCCAGGGGCGCAAUGCGGCCAGCCGGGACUGAGGAACGCGC